GAUGAACGCAGGCGGCGUGCCUAAUACAUGCAAGUCGAGCGAACGGACGAGAAGCUUGCUUCUCUGAUGUUAGCGGCGGACGGGUGAGUAACACGUGGAUAACCUACCUAUAAGACUGGGAUAACUUCGGGAAACCGGAGCUAAUACCGGAUAAUAUUUUGAACCGCAUGGUUCAAAAGUGAAAGACGGUCUUGCUGUCACUUAUAGAUGGAUCCGCGCUGCAUUAGCUAGUUGGUAAGGUAACGGCUUACCAAGGCAACGAUGCAUAGCCGACCUGAGAGGGUGAUCGGCCACACUGGAACUGAGACACGGUCCAGACUCCUACGGGAGGCAGCAGUAGGGAAUCUUCCGCAAUGGGCGAAAGCCUGACGGAGCAACGCCGCGUGAGUGAUGAAGGUCUUCGGAUCGUAAAACUCUGUUAUUAGGGAAGAACAUAUGUGUAAGUAACUGUGCACAUCUUGACGGUACCUAAUCAGAAAGCCACGGCUAACUACGUGCCAGCAGCCGCGGUAAUACGUAGGUGGCAAGCGUUAUCCGGAAUUAUUGGGCGUAAAGCGCGCGUAGGCGGUUUUUUAAGUCUGAUGUGAAAGCCCACGGCUCAACCGUGGAGGGUCAUUGGAAACUGGAAAACUUGAGUGCAGAAGAGGAAAGUGGAAUUCCAUGUGUAGCGGUGAAAUGCGCAGAGAUAUGGAGGAACACCAGUGGCGAAGGCGACUUUCUGGUCUGUAACUGACGCUGAUGUGCGAAAGCGUGGGGAUCAAACAGGAUUAGAUACCCUGGUAGUCCACGCCGUAAACGAUGAGUGCUAAGUGUUAGGGGGUUUCCGCCCCUUAGUGCUGCAGCUAACGCAUUAAGCACUCCGCCUGGGGAGUACGACCGCAAGGUUGAAACUCAAAGGAAUUGACGGGGACCCGCACAAGCGGUGGAGCAUGUGGUUUAAUUCGAAGCAACGCGAAGAACCUUACCAAAUCUUGACAUCCUUUGACAACUCUAGAGAUAGAGCCUUCCCCUUCGGGGGACAAAGUGACAGGUGGUGCAUGGUUGUCGUCAGCUCGUGUCGUGAGAUGUUGGGUUAAGUCCCGCAACGAGCGCAACCCUUAAGCUUAGUUGCCAUCAUUAAGUUGGGCACUCUAAGUUGACUGCCGGUGACAAACCGGAGGAAGGUGGGGAUGACGUCAAAUCAUCAUGCCCCUUAUGAUUUGGGCUACACACGUGCUACAAUGGACAAUACAAAGGGCAGCGAAACCGCGAGGUCAAGCAAAUCCCAUAAAGUUGUUCUCAGUUCGGAUUGUAGUCUGCAACUCGACUACAUGAAGCUGGAAUCGCUAGUAAUCGUAGAUCAGCAUGCUACGGUGAAUACGUUCCCGGGUCU
rnacentral:rRNA from 1 species